GUUCGGAUAAAACGAAUCCAGUGAUCCACACGUGAUCCAAACCCAACACCCCCCUCCCCUUCCUUCCCCCAAUCAUUCAUUCAUUCAUGUCCUGGAGAACUCUGAAUCGAAGAAGCCCUAGCCGGCUAGCCCUCCAUCGUCGCUGCCUAACCUAGGUCCUCAGCGCCGCCGCUGCCUCCUCUUUCCCGUGUCGUUUUCAUCUUCGCUGGCACGUCGUUUUCAUCUUCGCUGGCUUCUCGGCACGGAACCCAGGAGUUCUUGGAGUACCAGUGAACCGGUUGGACUAAUGAACCAGUAAACCAAUGACUAAAACGGUUUGGGGCUUUCACCGAUUUGGGGCUUAAGGAAGCGAAGGAUUUGGUCGAGAAGGUUCCUUGCGUCUUGAAGAAGGGUCUCACUAAGGACGAAGCUGAUCCCAUUCUCCUGAAGCUCAAAGAUUUGGGUGCCACUGUUGUAUUGGAUUGAUUCCCAAUUCUUUUUUUUUCUUUUUGGUUGUAGAAUCAUUCAUCACUUGCCUCCAUAGCUCCAUUUUCAUUGAAAUGUGAUGAUAAUGUGUUUUUUAGUUCUCAAAUACAAAAGUUAUAUGAACAUAAUAAGGACUUAGAACGAUAAUGAAUAAUUUUCACUAUAACAGUAAAAAGAAACAUGAACCAACCAUGGUCUAAGUUUAAGAGAGUUUAUUAGUUUAUAACUUAUUGUUAUUAUUUUCUGAAACA